GACGAACGCUGGCGGCGUGCUUAACACAUGCAAGUCGAACGGAAAGGCCCCGUUGGUGGUACUCGCUUGGCGAACGAGCGAGUAACUAGCGCGUGACUUGCCCUUGCCUUCGGGAUAACUACCGGCAACUGGCGCUAAUACCGGCCAGGAAUGAUUGCUGCCUGGUGGGGGUUGGUAAGCUUCGGGGGUUUUGGGGGGACUCGCGGGUUAUCAGCGUGCUGGUGGGGUAGUGGCUUACCAAGGCUUUGACGGGUAGGCGGCCUGGGAGGGGGACCGGCCACAUUGGGACUUGGGAUAGGCCCAGACUCCUACGGGAGGGAACAGGGGGGAAUAUUGCACAAAGGGCGGGAGGCUUGUGCAACAACGCCGCGGGCGGGAUGACGGGCUUCGGGUUGGAAAACGCUUUCAGCAGGGGCGGAGCUGGUGGUGACGGUACCUGCAGAAGAAGCACCGGCUAACUACGUG
rnacentral:rRNA from 1 species